rnacentral:rRNA from 1 species
UACGUAGGGGGCAAGCGUUGUCCGGAUUUAUUGGGCGUAAAGAGCGUGUAGGCGGUUUGGUAGGUCCGCUGUGAAAACUCGAGGCUCAACCUCGAGACGCCGGUGGAAACCAUCAGACUAGAGUCCGGAAGAGGAGAGUGGAAUUCCUGGUGUAGCGGUGAAAUGCGCAGAUAUCAGGAGGAACACCGAUGGCGAAGGCAGCUCGCUGGGACGGUACUGACGCUGAGGCGCGAAAGCGUGGGGAGCAAACAGG